GACGAACGCUGGCGGCGUGCUUAACACAUGCAAGUCGAACGGAAAGGCCCUGCUUUUGUGGGGUGCUCGAGUGGCGCACGGGUGAGUAACACGUGAGUAACCUGCCCUUGACUUUCGGAUAACUUCAGGAAACUGGGGCUCAUACCGGAUAGGAGCUCCUGCUGCAUGGUGGUGGUUGGAAAGUUUCGGCGGUUGGGGAUGGUCUCGCUGGUUAUCAGCUUGUUGGUGGGGUAGUGGCUUACCAAGGGUUUGACGGGUAGCCGGCAUGGGAGGGUUACCGGCCACAUUGGGACUGAGAUACGGCCCAGACUCCUACGGUAGGCAGCAGUGGGGAAUAUGGCAGAAUGGGCGGAAGCCUGAUGCGGCAGCGCCGCGUGCGGGAUGACGGCCUUCGGGUUGUAAACCGCUGUCGCCUGAGACGAAGCGUGAGUGACGGUAAUGGGUAAAGAAGCACCGGCUAACUACGUG
rnacentral:rRNA from 1 species